CAACAACCUGACUAAAGAGAGAGACCAGUUACAGACCAGAUACAACAACCUGACUGAAGAGAGAGACCAGUUACAGACCAGAUACAACAACCUGACUAAAGAGAAAGGCCAUAUUCAGGCAAAGCUUUUUGUGAUAGCAUUUUCAAAAGGGAUGGAGAAACUUUGACUACAGUUGUACUUCCUCUCUACUAAGAAGAAAACCUGGGAGUAGAGAGAAGCAGUCCUGGUGAUCAUAAACAGCAGAGAGGAACAGCUGACCAUUUCUCUUCAACCUCCACCUGAGAGUCUGGAUUGGUCUGACUGACUCUGUUACUGAGGAGACCUGGAAGUAGGUGGAUGGCACAACAAUGACCACAGGGUACUGGGGGAAAGGACAGCCUGAUGAUAGAGUGCAGGAGGGCUGUGUUGAGAUUUACUAUGGACAAGCUGACCCUGUACAGACAUGGAAUGAUGACAAUUGUACCAAAUAUCAUAACUGGAUCUAUGAGAAAGCGGUGGUACAAUAACCUUCUGUCUAUCUGUCUGUCUGUCUGUCUGUCUGUCUCUCUCCCCUUUCUCUCUUCUUUCCCACAGUUAUUAUGUUAAUGGUUGUGUUGGUUCCACUUAUCUGGGCUCCGUUAUUUACUUAACAGAUAAGGAAUACUUCAAAUGUGAGAAACAACCUGACUAAAGAAAGAGACCAGCUACAGUCCAGUUACAACAACCUGACUAAAGAAAGAGACCAGCUACAGUCCAGUUACAACAAACUGACUAAAGAGAGAGACCAGCUACAGUCCAGUU